rnacentral:rRNA from 1 species
CUCAUGGGUGGCGAGUGGCGGACGGGUGAGUAAUGCAUCGGGACCUACCUAGACGUGGGGGAUAACGUAGGGAAACUUACGCUAAUACCGCAUACGUCCUACGGGAGAAAGCAGGGGACCUUCGGGCCUUGCGCGGUUAGACGGACCGAUGUUCGAUUAGCUUGUUGGUGAGGUAAUGGCUCACCAAGGCGACGAUCGAUAGCUGGUCUGAGAGGAUGAUCAGCCACACUGGAACUGAGACACGGUCCAGACUCCUACGGGAGGCAGCAGUGGGGAAUAUUGGACAAUGGGCGCAAGCCUGAUCCAGCAAUGCCSCGUGUGUGAAGAAGGCUUCGGGUUG